UACGGAGGGUGCAAGCGUUAAUCGGAAUUACUGGGCGUAAAGCGCACGCAGGUGGCUGAGUCAGUCGAUUGUGAAAGCCCUGGGCUCAACCUGGGAAUUGCAGUCGAUACUACUCAGCUAGAGUAUGGGAGAGGGCAGUGGAAUUCCCGGUGUAGCGGUGAAAUGCGUAGAUAUCUGGAGGAACACCGGUGGCGAAGGCGACAUCCUGGACCGGCAUUGACGCUGAGGCGCGAAAGCCAGGGGAGCAAACGGG
rnacentral:rRNA from 1 species